CCUACGGGAGGCAGCAGUGGGGGAUAUUGCACAAUGGGGGAAACCCUGAUGCAGCGACGCCGCGUGGGUGAAGAAGCGCCUCGGCGCGUAAAGCUCUGUCAGCAGGGAAGAAAAUGACGGUACCUGAAGAAGAAGCCCCGGCUAACUACGUGCCAGCAGCCGCGGUAAUACGUAGGGGGCAAGCGUUAUCCGGAGUUACUGGGUGUAAAGGGGGCGCAGACGGCGAUGCAAGCCAGGAGUGAAAGCCCGGGGCCCAACCCCGGGACUGCUCUUGAAACUGCGUGGCUAGAGUGCAGGAGGGGCAGGCGGAAUGCCUGGUGUAGCGGUGAAAUGCGUAGAUAUCAGGAGGAACACCGGUGGCGAAGGCGGCCUGCUGGACUGCAACUGACGUUGAGGCCCGAAAGCGUGGGGAGCAAACAGGAUUAGAUACCCUGGUAGUC
rnacentral:rRNA from 1 species